ACUGCCUGAUGGAGGGGGAUAACUACUGCCAACGGUAGCUAAUACCGCAUAACGUCGCAAGACCAAAGAGGGGGACCUUCGGGCCUCUUGCCAUCGGAUGUGCCCAGAUGGGAUUAGCUAGUAGGUGGGGUAAAGGCUCACCUAGGCGACGAUCCCUAGCUGGUCUGAGAGGAUGACCAGCCACACUGGAACUGAGACACGGUCCAGACUCCUACGGGAGGCAGCAGUGGGGAAUAUUGCACAAUGGGCGCAAGCCUGAUGCAGCCAUGCCGCGUGUAUGAAGAAGGCCUUCGGGUUGUAAAGUACUUUCAGCGGGGAGGAAGGGAGUAAAGUUAAUACCUUUGCUCAUUGACGUUACCCGCAGAAGAAGCACCGGCUAACUCCGUGCCAGCAGCCGCGGUAAUACGGAGGGUGCAAGCGUUAAUCGGAAUUACUGGGCGUAAAGCGCACGCAGGCGGUUUGUUAAGUCAGAUGUGAAAUCUCCGGGCUCAACCUGGGAACUGCAUCUGAUACUGGCAAGCUUGAGUCUCGUAGAGGGGGGUAGAAUUCCAGGUGUAGCGGUGAAAUGCGUAGAGAUCUGGAGGAAUACCGGUGGCGAAGGCGGCCCCCUGGACG
rnacentral:rRNA from 1 species